AGAAAAGUAGUUUAUAAAAAACAUUAAUUUUGGAGAUUAAAGAAGAUAGUUUAUUUUUUCUG
rnacentral:tRNA from 1 species